CUCGGAUCAGGUAGGAAUACCCGCUGAACUUAAGCAUAUCAA
rnacentral:rRNA from 1 species